AUUGAACGCUGGCGGCAUGCCUUACACAUGCAAGUCGAACGGUAACAGGUUAAGCUGACGAGUGGCGAACGGGUGAGAAAUGUAUCGGAACGUGCCCAGUCGUGGGGGAUAACUGCUCGAAAGAGCAGCUAAUACCGCAUACGACCUGAGGGUGAAAGCGGGGGAUCGCAAGACCUCGCGCGAUUGGAGCGGCCGAUAUCAGAUUAGGUAGUUGGUGAGGUAAAGGCUCACCAAGCCGACGAUCUGUAGCUGGUCUGAGAGGACGACCAGCCACACUGGGACUGAGACACGGCCCAGACUCCUACGGGAGGCAGCAGUGGGGAAUUUUGGACAAUGGGCGCAAGCCUGAUCCAGCCAUGCCGCGUGCGGGAAGAAGGCCUUCGGGUUGUAAACCGCUUUUGUCAGGGAAGAAAAGGUUCUGGCUAAUACCUGGGACUCAUGACGGUACCUGAAGAAUAAGCACCGGCUAACUACGUG
rnacentral:rRNA from 1 species